UGAAUACGAGACACUAAGGUGUUGAAGUAGUGUAUGUCAUACUUCCAAGAAAAGCUUGCACUGUCAUAGAUAAAAAAUGCCUGUACCAUAACCGACACAGGUGGGUAGGUAGAGUAUACUAAGGGGCGCGAGAUAACUCUCUCUAAGGAACUCGGCAAAAUAACUCCGUAACUUCGGGAGAAGGAGUGCCUUAUUUAUAAGGUUGCAAUAACAAGAUCCAAGCAACUGUUUAUCAAAAACACAGGUCUCCGCUAAGUCGUAAGACGAUGUAUGGGGGCUGACGCCUGCCCAGUGCCAGAAGGUUAAAGAAGUUGGUUAGCAAUAGCGAAGCUGGUAACUGAAGCCCUGGUGAACGGCGGCCGUAACAAUAACGGUCCUAAGGUAGCGAAAUUCCUUGUCGGGUAAGUUCCGACCCGCACGAAAGGCGUAAUGAUUUGGAUACUGUCUCGGAGAGGGGCUCGGUGAAAUAGACUUGUCUGUGAAGAUGCGGACUACCUGCACCAGGACAGAAAGACCCUAUGAAGCUUUACUGUAACUUGAAAUUGAAAUUGGACUUUAUUCGCGCAGCAUAGGUGGGAGGCGUUGAUUAUAAUCUCGCGGGAUUAUUGGAGCCAUCAGUGAGAUACCACUCUUGUAAUGUUAGAUUUCUAACUUUGAAUCAUUAUCUGGUCAUAGGACAGUUUCAGGCGGGCAGUUUGACUGGGGCGGUCGCCUCCUAAACGGUAACGGAGGCGUACAAAGGUUUCCUCUGAACGGUUAGAAAUCGUAUCUAGAGUGUAAAGGCAUAAGGAAGCUUGACUGUGAGACCUACAAGUCGAGCAGGGACGAAAGUCGGUCUUAGUGAUCUGACGGUACUGAGUGGAAAGGCCGUCACUCAACGGAUAAAAGUUACUCUAGGAUAACAGGCUGAUCUCCCCCAAGAGUUCACAUCGACGGGGAGGUUUGGCACCUCGAUGUCGGCUCAUCGCAUCCUGGGGCGGUAGUACGUCCCAAGGGUUGGGCUGUUCGCCCAUGAAAGCGGUACGCGAGCUGGGUUCAGAACGUCGUGAGACAGUUCGGUCCAUAUCCGGUGUAGGCGUUAGAAUAUUGAGAGGAGCCUUCUUUAGUACGAGAGGACCGAGAAGGACAUACCUCUGGUGUACCAGUUAUCGUGCCAACGGUAAACGCUGGGUAGCUAUGUAUGGAGUGGAUAACCGCUGAAAGCAUCUAAGUGGGAAGCCCACCUCAAGAUAAGUAUUCUCA
rnacentral:rRNA from 1 species